rnacentral:lncRNA from 1 species
UGCAACCUUGAACUCCUAUAAGAGGCACAUUGGGAAGACUCCCACAACUGUAAAUGAAAUCUCGUCCAGCCAUACCAUUGUGAGUCCAAGCUAUGUCCUUGGCUCGCAAACCCAUCAACCUGAUUGACCAUUUGACAGUAGGAUCAAGAAAGACAAAGGCACCUCUAGAAGGCAAAUACCCCAUGAACCACUUGUGCAACAACUGAGCACAACAUCUGAUCAAUCCA